rnacentral:misc_RNA from 1 species
AACGCACAUUGCGCCUCCUGGUAUUCCGGGAGGCACGCCUGUUCGAGCGCCAUUACACACUCCAAGCUCUGCUUGAUGUUGAACAAUGCGGAGCGCCCUUGGGGGCGACUGCACGUUCGGAACGAGUGGGCGUCCGGUCUGUCGAGAAACCACGAGCGUAGCAAGACUUGCGCAAGCUGUCAAUUCGCUCGAUUGGGGCUCCAGCGGAUGGUCUGCAGAGAGGCACGCACGACGCGACCUUCCUCUUUCUUGGGAGAGUGGGCGAGUGGUGGGUGUGUCGACGCACAAUAACGAGUUUGGCCUCGGAUCAGGCGGGGAUACCCGCUGAACUUAA